UGCGUAGGCGGUGAGGUAAGUCGGAUGUGAAAUCCCGGGGCUCAACCCCGGAACUGCAUUCGAUACUGCCUUGCUUGAGCACUGGAGAGGAGACUGGAAUUUACGGUGUAGCAGUGAAAUGCGUAGAUAUCGUAAGGAAGACCAGUGGCGAAGGCGAGUCUCUGGACAGUUGCUGACGCUGAGGCACGAAGGCCAGGGGAGCAAACG
rnacentral:rRNA from 1 species